rnacentral:rRNA from 1 species
AGCGUAGGUGGCCUAACAUGUCAACUGUGAAAACCCGGAGCUCAACUCCGGACUUGCAGUUGAAACUGGUAGGCUUGAGGACGGUAGAGGAAGACGGAACUGCCAGUGUAGGGGUAAAAUCCUUAGAUAUUGGCAGGAACGCCGGUGACGAAGGUGUUUUCUGGGCCGGUUCUGACACUGAUGCUCGAAAGCCAGGGGAGCGAACG